rnacentral:rRNA from 1 species
AACGAACGCUGGCGGCAGGCUUAACACAUGCAAGUCGAACGCAUCCUUCGGGGUGAGUGGCAGACGGGUGAGUAACACGUGGGAACGUACCUUUCGGUUCGGGAUAACCCAGGGAAACUUGGGCUAAUACCGGAUACGUCCUUUGGGAGCAGUCCUUUGGGAGAAAGAUUCAUUGCCGAGAGAUCGGCCCGCGUCUGAUUAGCUAGUUGGUGGGGUAACGGCUCACCAAGGCGACGAUCAGUAGCNGGUCUGAGAGGAUGAUCAGCCACACUGGGACUGAGACACGGCCCAGACUCCUACGGGAGGCAGCAGUGGGGAAUAUUGGACAAUGGGCGCAAGCCUGAUCCAGCCAUGCCGCGUGAGUGAUGAAGGCCCUAGGGUUGUAAAGCUCUUUGGCGGGGACGAUAAUGACGGUACCCGCAGAAGAAGCCCC